CCCAUCGUGAGGUGGGAUCUGAAGGAAGCUGAAAGCAAAAUGCUGGCCUGACGAACAGGAAGCGGUUUAGGCAUAACAGUGGGGUAAGGCGGCAUAUAUCGUCAAAGCCCGAUACUCGUACGGAACGCUGUUACGUAAAGCCGACAGGUAUAAGCAGGAAGGUCGCGCUA
rfam:Serratia sp. DD3 SRDD_contig000040, whole genome shotgun sequence.